rnacentral:rRNA from 1 species
AGAAUCAACGCUGGCGGCGUGCCUAACACAUGCAAGUCGAACGAGAAAGUGGAGCAAUCCAUGAGUAAAGUGGCGCACGGGUGAGUAACACGUGACAACCUACCCUUGAGUGGGGGAUAACCUAGAGAAAUCUGGGCUAAUACCGCAUAAUACCUUCGGGUCAAAGGAGCAAUUCGCUUAAGGAGGGGGUCGCGGCCGAUUAGUUAGUUGGCGGGGUAAUGGCCCACCAAGACUGUGAUCGGUA